CUCUUUGGUUCUUUAUUUCCCCAGCUGUGGUGAGGUGGCUGACUGGACUCCCCUCGGAUGUAGCUGUGACAAUGUCUUCUUCAAUUUCACGUGUCUCCUCUUUUUGUGAUCCUCUAAACUCUGAAAGAAAAGGUGUUAAGAUUUUCCAAGGCUGCCACCUCGACUGAACUUUCUACUCCUGCCUCAAUGUCUUCCACCCUUUCUCUUCGUUUCAGGUUGCUACCUCUGCCACGCCUUGUGACAGGUAUGUCAUCCACUUCUGUAACAGUAACGAACAUCAGCUAGAUUCAGCUGAAGAGACUUUUUUGAGCAAAUUAUUGUUCAACCAA